CACUGAUGCUGGCCAAGUGACAUUAGUGAAAUGUUAUUAAUGAAAUACUUUUAGUACAAAAGUACUUGCUGAAUGAUGAAGCUCUUCACACUAAGGCCUUUUCCUCUUCCCUAAGGACAUACUGAAUUCAUUUAUACAGCAAAGGAAGAAGUAAAAUUGUUUUGCAGAACCAACACAUGGCAAAUAAGCACAGAGUCUGACAACAGCAUUGAUGUGACUUGCACAGUGGAGUGUGUUCAUGGUGAACCACUCAAACUUAAUAAUACCCUGAAGCCCUGCUCAAAUAAACAUUCAGACAAAGUUGGUGAAAAAUGUCCGCUAAUAGCAAGCAGUGGAUUUUUUCGAUGUGUUACUGCUCUGGAUUCUGGUUUCUUGUUUCCAUUCAAACCGUCUCCCAACACUGUCACCUCAUACAUAGUCGCUACUGCAAAUGAAGAAAUGACAACCAAGUCUGAGGAAAGAUCUUCAGUCGAGCUAACUGAAGGUGAAGAAAUACUUUUAAACUGCAGUGUCAUCUUUACAGAAGAAUAUAACAGCAGGGAUUUUGUCGUGUACUGGAUCAAGACCAUUGAAAAGAACAGUAACUGUGUGUAUUCUUAUGAUUUUGACCUUACUGCUAAUAAAGUACAAUCACCACUGCAAUGUGCAAGAAGAACUGCUUUCCAGGAUCUCAAACCAAAACGAAGGCAGAAACAUCCAUAACAUCAGGAUCAGUAAUGUAACAGAGUCAGAUGCUGGACAGUAUCUUUGUGCCUUACAAAUGCACACAAAUAAUAAAACAAAAGGAAUCUGGAAGAUCAUAAAUAAUAUUACAGUCAGUGUACAUAAAGACAAAGCAUCUGAAAUAGCUGCAAACAGCGCUGGUGAGUUUCAACUGCAUUUGGCUAUACGUGUGUGUGUGUGUGUGUGUGUGUGUGUAUUUAGGGGAUGGAAAGGAAUAGAUUUAAGAACCCAGCAUGACGUUGUAGACUAUUUUUCCAUAAAAAAUUGUGUGUGUGUGUGUGCGCCUUCAGUCAUUUCUCCGUAUCUACGUUUUAAUUAAUGUUUAUACACAGUUUUCAUCGCCUUAUAUGCUACAAUUCCCAUAUUACUGGCUCUUGCCCUAGUUACUGUGGGGUUUAUCUAGAAAAAGAUUAAAAUCUCACCAGGUAAGAAUCUUGUGAAACUACAUAGCCAUUUAAUCAGAUGCUAAUACCUAUACUUAACAAAGCCAAAUUCAUUUUUUUUACAGGAUCUCAGGCAAUAGAGCUACACAGGUAAGCAAUGGCAUUCAUAACCAUGUGUUUUGAGUGAACAUGACCUCUUCUAUUACCUCUGUUGUAACUUAUUCCUGCUUCAUCAUGUUUUCUCCAACCAGCAGAAACCAAAAUGGGGAUGAUACGGAAGAAACUGCUGAUAUGGAAUGUUCUCCGUAUGCUGUGGGGAGUGGAGAAGAGGAGAUUAAGUUCAGAUCCAAGCAGGAUACUUUAAAGCAGGAAGACCAAGAAAAAUCCACAGACGUCUAUUCAGAUGUGAUAUAGAAUGACUUGUAUGAACCCGGGGCAUGAGAGGACACUGUAACAUUUAUGCCAAAAAGGAUUUUUGAAGGUGUUUACAUGCAUGUGACUUUUUUCUUUACUGGCCUAAAACUGAACACAUUUUACUGAAGUGAAAAUGGUUUUGAUGUUGAUAGCAUGUGUGGAUUACAGUCUAGCAAGCAAAAGUCAGUACAGAAGUUUUAGGCAUAAGAUCACUGUGAUCCACCAGAAUGAUCUUAUAAGUAUUCUUUCAUCUGGUGGUCUUCCAUCUGGUCUAGCACU